GAUGAACGCUGGCGGCGUGCCUAAUACAUGCAAGUCGAGCGAACGGACGAGAAGCUUGCUUCUCUGAUGUUAGCGGCGGACGGGUGAGUAACACGUGGAUAACCUACCUAUAAGACUGGGAUAACUUCGGGAAACCGUAGAUACUACCGGCUAAUAUUUUGAACCGCAUGGUUCAAAAGUGAAAGACGGUCUUGCUGUCACUUAUAGAUGGAUCCGCGCUGCAUUAGCUAGUUGGUAAGGUAACGGCUUACCAAGGCAACGAUGCAUAGCCGACCUGAGAGGGUGAUCGGCCACACUGGAACUGAGACACGGUCCAGACUCCUACGGGAGGCAGCAGUAGGGAAUCUUCCGCAAUGGGCGAAAGCCUGACGGAGCAACGCCGCGUGAGUGAUGAAGGUCUUCGGAUCGUAAAACUCUGUUAUUAGGGAAGGACAUAUGUGUAAGUAACUGUGCACAUCUUGACGGUACCUAAUCAGAAAGCCACGGCUAACUACGUG
rnacentral:rRNA from 1 species